AUAUGUUGGACUUAGA
rnacentral:sRNA from 1 species